rnacentral:rRNA from 1 species
AGCAGCCGCGGUAAUUCCAGCUCCAAUAGCGUAUAUUAAAGUUGUUGCAGUUAAAAAGCUCGUAGUUGAAUUUCGGGAUCAAGGUGCCGGUCAUGCCUUUGGUAUGUACUGACAUCAUUGAUUUCUCCUUUCUGAUGAACUGUGAUGUCAUUAAUUUGGUGUCAUGGAGAAUCAGGACUGUUACUUUGAAAAAUUAGAGUGUUUAAAGCAAGCACACGCUUGAAUACAUUAGCAUGGAAUAAUGAAAUAGGACGUUUGAUCCUAUUUUGUUGGUUUCUAGGAUCGACGUAAUGAUUAAUAGGGAUAGUUGGGGGCAUUAGUAUUCAAUUGUCAGAGGUGAAAUUCUUGGAUUUAUUUGAAGACUAA